ACAGCCCUCCAAUCCUCUUGGCAGAAAUAUCAUAGGAACUCCAGGCCUGCCACCGUCAGCGGCUAAGGGAGUGGAACGCGCCCAGAAGAGGAGGCAGGGGUCCAGGUGCAGACCGAAGCACGGUCCCCCCCAUCCCCCACUCCUGCAAGCAGCCGAGGGGCAGGCCAGGGACAGGCUUUCUUGUCACGUACGGAUUAGAUCUGGGGGUCCAGAGACCCCCCCGGGGAGUCUGACACCCUUUCCCGAGUCAGCUCCCUCGGGAGCUCGCUCCCUCCUGGCUGGUUCUGGGGGCAGGGACCUUUCCUCUCUCCGCACGCCUCCCUCGGCUCUUCCUUCACUGAUGAUCAGAAAGCCCAGUCCAUCCCCAGCGGGUGGCACCCUCCCCAGAGGGACUGUCCCUUCUCCCCUCUCACCAUCACCUCCCCGUCUCGUCCCUCCAUCCUUCGCUGCCCACCCCAGACAUACUGGGCUACCUCCCGGCUCAGGGUCCCUCCCAGGACCCCGCUCUCUGCUCUCAGCUUCCCUUCCUGCCCCCUGGGCAGAGAAACUCCCACGAAGCGGCAUCUGCUCUGCUUUCCCACCCCCAGGCCCCCCCAGCAUCUUCUUGGUCCACACGGGCUGGCUUUUGUCCCCCCCCGCCCUUGUCAAGGUUGCCCGAGAGCCACCCUUUGUCCCACCUGUGGCCCCGUGUCUACCCUGGUCCCCUGGUGUCUGCAGAGCAUCUGCCACCCGGCCCCCUCUGCCGCUCCCGCCCCCACCACACUCCCCCACCAAGCGAUUCUCGUGACACCAGAUGGCCGUCCUAUAGCUGAACCCAACUCUGACACUGUCGACCUGGAGACAGCGCCACAGGUUAAGGCCUCUGGCCCGUGAGACUGUCCCCCCCGCUCAGAGCCCGAGCCCAAGGGCUUGAUCCCCGAGUGACCCACCACGUCUGCUCAACUUGGCUGCAAGUCAGAGGUUCCCACGUCCUCCUCCCUCUGGAUCCCGUCACCCGUCAGCACAGCUCUCGGAACUCGGUUUAUUAUAGGAGAAAGGACGCAGGACGGCCCAGAUGAGCCACCACGAAGAGACAGACGCCUCACCGUUUCAAACACCCGAAAAGCGAAGAGCAGCAUGUGCUUUUCUUCAACCCCUCGCCUGGGAACCUCCACAUGUUGCGGGUGCAGCCCUCGAAAGACAAAACAAACAAACAAGCAAAAACGGUACCAAUUGCAACGGAUGGGAAGCGUCCCCAGAGCGCUGCUCCCGGGGCUUCUCGGGAACUCAGCCCAGGGCCAGCAUCCCCAUCCAGGCAGCUGAGCCCCAAGAUCAUGCGGGGCGUUGGCCCGGCCAGGACCCAUGGUUAGCCGUCUUUCUGGGAUCUUCUCCCCGUUGUAGGAGGGAGGCUCCGUCCUGGGGUCGCACGCAGUGGUGGUUGAGAGAUCGCCACGUGUCAGACCAUCCCCACGUGGUCUGGGAGCCUGAAGCCUCGCUGUGUCCAGAAUCUACCAACCCCGUGUCCCAGCGGUACCUCGGUGCACCUCCUGGACCGAGCCUUUGGCCUGAGCUCCUCCCCCAGUUCCAGGUGGGGGGUCCUGCCCCCUCCCUGCAGUUUAUGCUCCAUCGGCCUCCUGGACGAGUUAUGGUCCCUCGCUGACCUCUCGGAGGCCUCCAUCUCUCGGAGCACCCUGGGGACCUCUCAUGCAGCGUGACCUGUGCCAUCGCGUCCCUGUGACUUUGUCCCGAGGGCCAGGUUAGGGUCAAGCAGGACGAGCUUGUGGGGCGUUGAAAACACCCGUGGCAGAGGGAGUCUGGAGAGACCCAGAAGGGCGUGGCACGAAGCAAGAUUUCCCAGGGUGCGUUCCUGGCCAGAGAUGGCAGAGAGUUCCAGGGGCUGGGACUUUGGAGACAUCCGUUGGAGAAGAUGACCCGUGAGCAAAGGCAGACAGUCCAGAAAAGCAAAAUGGAGGCUCUGGGGUCACUAUCAGCCCUUUUUUUAAAAAAAAUUCUUUUUAUUUUUUGGUCAUGCCUUCCGCACGCAGAAUUUCCCAGGCCAGGGAUUGAACCUGUGGCACAGCAGCAACCGAGCCAUGGCGGUGACAAUGCUGGAUUCUUAACCCGCUGCACCACGAGGGAACUCCAAUAUUUAUACGUUCUUGAGCCAGAGUGUUCCAGAAGUCAAGGGGGCUGCCUCGCCCAGCAGCAGGCUCCCUGUGGGUGAGCCUUUGGGAGAGACUGACUCCUGGGAUACAGAGAACUGUCUGCCAGGAUGCUUUGGAUGGCAAGUACCCAAAAAACUAAGUUCUACCCGGCUUAGACCUCAAGGGGCGGUGGUCAGCUCCCAUAUCUGAAUCGUCCAGGGGCCCAAGCGGUGGCCAUGAGAGGGGCCCUGCCUCCUGGGAACCAGCUCCAUCCUCCCAGGCUCUCCCACCUGGUGGAAAGAUACCUUUGAGCAGCCCCAAAGGUAUGCACCUUCAGGUUCAAAUCCGCAGACAAAGAACACAUCUACUGCCAGCUAAAGCCAAAGCAGGGUUUACAUCCUAGGGGGCCCAUCUGGCCUGAGUGGGGUACACAACCUGAAUUACUGUGACCAAAGGGCUGAGAUGUUUUUAAACUGGCUCAAACCAAUCAAGGCUCACCCUGUGGGUGGAGCUGCGUCAAUGAGGAAAGUGGGGAGAAAAGCAACGAGUCCCCUCUCAGAAGGAUGGGGCAGGGAGGGCCCUAAGUUUCUAUGAUUACAAGCUCCCAGAGGACACCCGUCGCAGCACAGCGUGUCCAUAAAUAGGUGAUUAAUGAAUGCUUGUUGAGUGAAUAAA
ensembl:lncRNA